rnacentral:rRNA from 1 species
GACGAACGCUGGCGGCGUGCUUAACACAUGCAAGUCGAGCGGUAAGGCCCUUUCGGGGGUACACGAGCGGCGAACGGGUGAGUAACACGUGGGUGACCUGCCCUCAGCUCUGGGAUAAGCCUGGGAAACUGGGUCUAAUACCGGAUAUGACUCCAUGACGCAUGUUGUGGGGUGGAAAGCCUUGUGCGGCUGAGGAUGGGCCCGCGGCCUAUCAGCUUGUUGGUGGGGNAUGGCCUACCAAGGCGACGACGGGUAGCCGGCCUGAGAGGGCGACCGGCCACACUGGACUGAGACACGGCCCAGACUCCUACGGGAGGCAGCAGUGGGGAAUCUUGCGCAAUGGGCGAAAGCCUGACGCAGCGACGCCGCGUGA